AGGGAUAUAGCUCAGUGGUAGAGUGCAUUCUUAGCAUGUAUGAGGUCCUGGGUUCAAUUCCCUGUACCUCCA
rnacentral:tRNA from 1 species